rnacentral:lncRNA from 1 species
AAAUAACAUGAACCCAGUUUUUUGUUCAAACUUCUAAGUUAUACCUCACUGAAAAGAGGAAAAAAUAUAUAUAUAAUGUAUGUAUUAUAUAUAUAUGAAAUCUGUAUCUAUCUCUAGAUAGAUAAUGGGGUAAUUAAAAAUUUCUCCCUACUACCCACUCACUUUCUCUUUGCCCUUCUUAGCCAUUUAGGAGGUUUCAAAUAUUUACGUCUUAACACAUUUUUCUCUUAGGAACCUGAGUCCUUUAGUUACGUUUCCUAGUGACACCUUUCAGAGGAAGGUAGACAGCAAUUACAACCUGGACAUAACUGUAAGAAACUGUCUGGCACAGGGUUGUAUAAGUUCUCAUUGAAGCUUAGUCUACGAUUUAGCACCUUCAUCUUUUCAAGUGUUAUCUGGAAGAAGUACAUGAUUAUGUUAAAUUUACAAAACUCUAAUGUAUUCUUUAAAGUUUGUAGAGAAAAGGAUGAAUUCCUUAAUUUUGAUAAAGGCAUUGUUUAAGGAGUUCCCGUUGUGGCUCAGUGGAAAGGAAUCCGACUAGGAACCAUGAGGUUGUGAGUUCAAUCCAUGUUCUCUCUCAGUGGGUUAAGGAUCCAGCAUUGCCAUGAGCUGUAGUAUAGGUUGCAGAUGUGGCUCGGAUCUGGCCUUGUUGUGGCUCUGGCAUAGGCUGGCAGCUGUAGCUCUGACUCAUCCUGGGAACCUCCAUAUGCCAUGAGUGCGGCCCUAAAAAGCAGUGGGGGAAAAAAGGCAUUGUUUAAAUGGUUUUAAAUUGCAUAUAACAAACACCUCAGAUCCCAGCAAAGAAUAUCGGUCUCAGUAUAGAAAAUGUUCAUUGCAAAUUCAGCAAUAUUUAUUCAGUUGGUUACAGAGCACAGUACUAGCAAGCUCAAGUUAAGGAUUUCAUUCUAUAGGGCAAUCUUAGCUACUAUAAUAAAUAACUCAGGCUCAGCAAAGACAUACUGCAUUUCUAACCCCAACCAGUCAAACCUAAAAAAUGGGUAAAACGCAUCACAGUUGUUAAAAAACUAUUCAUCAUGACACAAGUCUGACAGUAUAUCAGAGGUAUUACAAAGGAUCAAACUUCUUAUAGAGACCCUGAGUUUAGAAGGAAAAAAAGAAAAAAGAAUAAAUCAACGAAGGAGAAUUUAUCAAUGAAAUCAUCCUUCUGUUCCUGGAUAAACACCUAAUGGGACCAAAGGGAAAUUAUAAGUGAAUAAAAAAAUUACAGCAGCCACAUGCAUUCAGAGAUACUGAAGGAGUUCCCAUCGUGGUGCAGCCAAAACGAAUCCAACUAGGAACCAGGAGGUUUUGGGUUUGAUCCCUGGCCUUGCUCAGUGGGUUCAGAAUCCUGAAUUGUUGUGGCUGUGGUGUAGGCUGGCAGCUGUAGCUCUGACUCAACCUGUAGCCUUGGAACCCCCAUAUGCCGCAAGUGCAGCCCUAAAAUGCAAAAAAAAAAAAAAAGAAGAGGUUUAAGGCCACAUGCAUCCAAAAAGAAAUGAGGAGGUUUAAGAGCAAAGAUAUAAAGGUCCCAGGAAGUAAUUACGGACUUCUCAAUUUAGGUUCUUUAAAUGGUCACAAAGCCAACUGACCUCUGUCCUAACAGCCAAAAUUCCAAGGACAUAGGUCUGGACUCAAGCACAUUGCUAAGGUCAACCACUUGGCAAAGUAAGAGGAGAAAAGGAAGAAACAUCACUCAUGAUAUACAAAGGCUUCAUAUCUCACCAGCCUUAGACACCAAGACCCAGAGACAUAUGACACUUGAGACCCCAAUUGAUGUUUCUAGUUUUUCUAAUAAUUAAAUUUCCUUUGAUGAAGACUAAAGAUCAAACUAGUUGAUAAUGAAUUCCAAGCCAAAGCAAACCAUUUGUUCUCUUUUCAAAAUGACAUCGGAGUCCUCUUGUGGCACAGUGGGUUAAGGAUCCAAUGUUGUAUAAAUAAAUAAAUAAAUAACAUGAUACCAAUAGUCUUAGUCUCAUUAAAAUCUUCCCCAGGUUUAGGUACAUGUCCUACACAGAAAAUCCAAAUUCUCAGAUAAAUGAUACUUCAAUAAAAACACAACUGAUGGAGUUUCCGUCGUGGCUCAGUGGUUAACGAAUCCAAUAGGGACCAUGAGGUUGUGGGUUCGAUCCCUGGCCUCGCUGAGUGGGUUAAGGAUCCAGGGCUGCCGCAAGCUGUGGUGUAGGUCGGCAACCCUGGAUCCUUAACCACACCACACUUGGCUCAGAUCCCAACGUUGCGGUGGCCCUGGCAUAGGCUGGCGGCUAUGGCUCUGAUUGGACCCCUAGCCUGGGAACCUCCAUAUGCAGCGGGUGGGGUCCUUUCUAAGACAAAAAAAUAAAUAAAUAAAAACACAACUGAGCUCCAGUUAGAGGAUUCGAAUCAUCCAGGAGAAAUGUGAUUGUGACUACAGUAAAUCAGCCUCAGUGGUGAUAGAAAGGAAUGUGAAAAAUAUUUAGCAUGCAGACCAGCAUUUACUAGACAGAGGGGAGGCAGCAACAUUUCCACCAAACUAUGUAUAUCAUGUUUUUCCCAAUUAAAUCAUUUUUAAAAGCUCAGUAGGAGAGAUCAACCAUUAAUGAAAUCCCACAAUAUAUCCUUUUACUUUAAGAAACAUCUAUUUUGUAAUGCCAAUAACUUUCUCUCUUUUAUUUUUACUGUAAACUUUCAUAAUAGGUGAGUAUUUUCAAUGUGGUGACUGUCUGGAAUUUAAUCUGUCUUUGGGUAUUCACUACUUACUUGAAAAGUCUGUCACCUAGAACUAGGCUUCCUGCUGCAUCCAAGGUACCUGAAACAGCACCUGGCACCCAGGAGGUCUCCAUUUAGUUCAGUAAGUGAAUAAAGACAUUGUGAAAAUACAAAUUUGCACUUUAUGCACUUUUCACAUAUACCCCUCUUUCACUUAAUAUUUGUCUUUAUUUCUUCUUUUGGCAGCUUCUGAUCCUAGUGAAUACCCUGGAGUUAGGGUAAAAUAUUAGAAAUAUUAAAUAAAAAUAUUUUUAAAAGAAUAUUAAAAAAGACGAAAUUUUUGUUUUAUUAUAUGAACUAGUAAAUAAGUAAAAGGCUGAGGGAAUUGAUAAUGAGAUUUGUGGCCUUUCAACUACAGGGGUAGUGUCUCAAGCCUAAAUUUGGUCAAAAAAAAAAAAAAAAACAUUUCAUUGAUAAAACACUUAGAUGCUACAACACACAGGAUAAAAGUAAUUUAAAUACUAAUUCCAAACCUGUACUGUUUUAAAGGGGUCAAAGAAUGUUAAUUCAUUCCAUACAUUUCUGAAUAAAUACGAAACAGUACUUAAAGAGUGAAAAUUAUCAGAUAAUGCAUAAAACCACACUUGGAAAAAAUACUUCGUCUUUCAACUUUUUUUUUUUGUCUUUUUGCCAUUUCUAGGGCCGUUCCCGCGGCAUAUGGAGGUUCCCAGGCUAGGGGGAUCGAACCCACAACCUCAUGGUUCCUAGUUGGAUUUGUUAACCACUGAGCCACAAUGGGAACUCCUCUUCUUUCAACAUUUAUUGGAUACCUACUGUGCACCAGGCUACAUUCCAACUACGUGUCACAAAGUACGAACAAACUGUUAUCAAGACAGGCCUACACCUCACUGCCAUUUGAUACGAUUAUUAUCUACUAUAUACACUACACUAAGCACUAGAGAUACUUCUAUCAACAAGACAAAUGAUUUCUGUCCUGGAUUCUAGUGGAGGGAAAAAAAGAGAAAAACCACCAAAUAGUGAGAAAUGACAAUAAAGACAUAAAUAGAGAGCCAAGAAAUGAUAACAGGGGACCCCUGUGGAUAAUGUGGCUGGAAACUGUCUCUCUGAGGAAGUGACAUUACACUAAGGCCUCAUUGAUGAAAAGGAAACAGCUCUGGUUGAGUUCCAGAUGUAUUUUGGAGAUGGGAGAAUGGACUGGAUGUGGGGAUUGAAGGGCAGGGAGGAAUCAAGGAUGGACCCUAGGUUUCUGGGUUGAGCAAUUACAUGGAUGGUGGCACCACUGACUGAAAUGGGUGCUGCAAAUUGCUGAGACUUAAACUUCAUAUAUUAUGUGUUCAUUCCUGCCUAAGGGUUACCAAAGACAUUCCAAUUGCCAAAUUCAGUGACGUAUUCACUCUUUUAUCUGACACUGUUGACCAUUGCUUCUUUCUUAAAAACUUCAUUCUCUCUUGGCUUCCAGGACACCACACUCUUCUGGUUCUUUUCAAAUUCAAUGAGCCUCCUUCUCAGGUUCCGUAUACUGGAGGACUCUGUCCUUGGUCUUCUGCUUUUCCUUCAAUACACUCACUUGGUGACCUCAUCCAAGCAAUCCACUGCUUUAACUGCUAUCCACAUAAAGCCUCCCAAAUCUCUAGCUCCUACCAGAACUUUCUCCUCACCUUUAGAACCAUCCACCCAACUGUUUUCUACCCACUCCUAUGGAGAUGCCUCAGUAGUAUCUUAAACUCAACAUAUCCAAAAGGAACUCCAUCAUCCUCUUCUAUGAACACUCCUAUUUCCUCAUCCCAUAUUUUUCAUCAUCGAAAAGCCCCACUUUCCAAAAAUAUGCCUGGCUACCCAAGCCCCAAACUGUAGCCCCAACUCCUCUCUUUCAAGUCCACAUCAAAUUGAUUUCCAGGUCUUAUCAAAUUUACUUUCUACUGAGCUCUUGGUUAUGUCCUCUCUUCAUAUCCCACACCUUUAAUUCAGGUCUUCAUCCUCUGGAUUAUUAUAACACUCUGGUUUCUUAAGCCUUAUACCAUUCUAACCUACCCUUCACAUCUCAAUAGACAGAGAAAUCCUUCACAGGCUCCCACAGCCCUCAGGAUCAAAUCUGGCCCCAAGAAUGGCAAACAAGGAGUUCCUGUCGUAGCUCAGUGGUAAUGAACCCAAAUAGUAUCCAUGAGGAUAUGGGUUUGACCCCUGGCCUCGCUCAGCAGGUUAAGGAUCCAGCGCUGUGUGGCUGUGGUGUAGGCUGUUACAGCUUCAACUGGACCCCUAGCCUAGGAACUUCCAUAUGCCAUGGGUACAGCCCUAAAAAGACCAAAAAAAAAAAAAAAAAAAGCAAAAUCUUGUGAGUUAGUGCCUCUGACUGGCUUUCCUGCCUCAACCCCUACCAUCUCUCCUAUACUCUCCAACCUCCCAUCACAAUGACCUACUAACAGGUUCAUGCAUGACUCUGCAUAUCCUGUUUCCUCCCCCAAUGCCUACUUGGCUUAGG